rnacentral:rRNA from 1 species
UACGGGGGGGGGCAAGCGUUGUUCGGAAUUACUGGGCGUAAAGGGCUCGUAGGUGGCCAACUAAGUCAGACGUGAAAUCCCUCGGCUUAACCGGGGAACUGCGUCUGAUACUGGAUGGCUUGAGGUUGGGAGAGGGAUGCGGAAUUCCAGGUGUAGCGGUGAAAUGCGUAGAUAUCUGGAGGAACACCGGUGGCGAAGGCGGCGAUCCUGGACCAACACUGACGCUGAUGAGCGAAAGCCAGGGGAGCAAAACGGGG